rnacentral:rRNA from 1 species
GUCCACGCCGUAAACGGUGGGCGCUAGGUGUGGGGAACAUUCCACGUUCUCCGUGCCGCAGCUAACGCAUUAAGCGCCCCGCCUGGGGAGUACGGCCGCAAGGCUAAAACUCAAAGGAAUUGACGGGGGCCCGCACAAGCGGCGGAGCAUGCGGCUUAAUUCGAUGCAACGCGAAGAACCUUACCUAGGCUUGACAGUUGGGGAAAUCUGGCAGAGAUGCCAGGUCCGUAAGGGCCCCAAAAC